UACGGGGGGGGCAAGCGUUGUUCGGAAUUACUGGGCGUAAAGGGCUCGUAGGCGGCCAACUAAGUCAGACGUGAAAUCCCUCGGCUUAACCGGGGAACUGCGUCUGAUACUGGAUGGCUUGAAUCCGGGAGAGGGAUGCGGAAUUCCAGGUGUAGCGGUGAAAUGCGUAGAUAUCUGGAGGAACACCGGUGGCGAAGGCGGAUCUCUGGGCCGUAACUGACGCUGAGGAGCGAAAGCAUGGGGAGCGAACAGG
rnacentral:rRNA from 1 species